GAUCUGGGCGCGCGUUAGGGGGGGAAGCUGCAGGCACAGGGCGCUGAGAGGGGAGCUUUCAAGUUACUUUGCUCCAUCCCUGCACCCGGCAGAGGCUUGCAGGACUCUCCAAAAUUUAUUCUGGGGAAGACUGACAGCCGGGGUCAAGAAACAGCUGUUGAAGUUAAUGUUUCUUCCUCCCACUUCGUCUGAUGGUUGUGCCCUGCCAAGACAAAGUUAUCCUGUCACCACAUCGCAAUGCAGUGCCAUCACAAAGUGCUAUUGCAUCAGACCGGAGGAUAUUUUAGGAAGCUCUCAAGCUGGGACCAGCGAACCUUUGGUACAGGCAUCAGGGCCACGCUGCCAAACCCAGGACUGCAGAACUGCUGGACAGGUGGCAGCAAUGCCCCCUGGAUUCUCAGUUCCAUUAUCCCUGUUCUCUCCUCACCCCCGAAGCAUACAAGUCUGCUUGGUGGCUUCCCUACCCUUUCUCUGCGAGGCUCCCAGAUGUCACCACCUUUGGUUUUCCUCCCGUCUCUACAA